AGCGAGCUUAUAGAGGAAUUUCAAAAAAGGUAACAUCCCAGAGGGGCUUUUGCAAGCAGUGCAAUUCAAUUGUUUGGUUGAAUAAUUCCAAGUGUUCUAAUGGGGAGAUUUCUGAUGAACAUCAGAUCAUGCCUGUGUCACUUGAACAGAUUGUUGAUUAUGUAAUAGAGGAGUCCAUACCUUCCUCGGAUAGUGAUAGUGAUUCAGAUGACUCAGUUGAUGGCUCUCUCUUCAAGCUCUGGGCCUAUCCCAAACGAGUUAGCGAGCCACAUGCAUGAUGUGGAAGCAUAUAGAUAUCCACAUUAAAAUGGUACUUUUUGAAAAUGUGCUGCAUAUCCAGAAGUGUAUCCUUGCAAUUUCCAGAUUAUGGAAAUGAAA
rnacentral:misc_RNA from 1 species